UGGCCAGACUCCUACGGGAGGCAGCAGUGAGGAAUAUUGGUCAAUGGGCGCGAGCCUGAACCAGCCAAGUCGCGUGAGGGAUGACGGCCCUACGGGUUGUAAACCUCUUUUGUCGGGGAGCAAAUUCCGUUACGUGUAACGGAGUCGAGAGUACCCGAAGAAAAAGCAUCGGCUAACUCCGUGCCAGCAGCCGCGGUAAUACGGAGGAUGCGAGCGUUAUCCGGAUUUAUUGGGUUUAAAGGGUGCGCAGGCGGAAUGUCAAGUCAGCGGUAAAAUUUCGGGGCUCAACCCCGUCGUGCCGUUGAAACUGGCGUUCUUGAGUGAGCGAGAAGUAUGCGGAAUGCGUGGUGUAGCGGUGAAAUGCAUAGAUAUCACGCAGAACUCCGAUUGCGAAGGCAGCAUACCGGCGCUCAACUGACGCUCAUGCACGAAAGCGUGGGUAUCGAACAGGAUUAGAUACCCUCGUAC
rnacentral:rRNA from 1 species